GAAGGAGGCAGGCUUAGCUA
rnacentral:misc_RNA from 1 species